GGGUCAGUAGGUUGGUCGUGCCACCGGUACGUACUGGUCUCACUGAUUCCUCCUUCCUGAAGAACCGUAAUACCAUUAAUUUGGUGUUGCGGGGAAACAGGACUGUUACUUUGAAAAAAUUAGAGUGUUUAAAGCAAGCUAACGUUUGAAUACAUUAGCAUGGAAUAAUGAAAUAGGACGAUCGAUCCUAUUUUCUUGGUUUCUAGGAUUGACGUA
rnacentral:rRNA from 1 species